rnacentral:rRNA from 1 species
CAGCCGCCGCGGUAAUACGAAGGGGGCUAGCGUUGUUCGGAUUUACUGGGCGUAAAGCGCACGUAGGCGGAUCGAUCAGUCAGGGGUGAAAUCCCAGAGCUCAACUCUGGAACUGCCUUUGAUACUGUCGAUCUGGAGUAUGGAAGAGGUGAGUGGAAUUCCGAGUGUAGAGGUGAAAUUCGUAGAUAUUCGGAGGAACACCAGUGGCGAAGGCGGCUCACUGGUCCAUUACUGACGCUGAGGUGCGAAAGCGUGGGGAGCAAACAGGAUUAGAUACCCCGGUAGUCCCUGUCUCUUAUAC